UACGUAUGGGGCGAGCGUUGUUCGGAAUCAUUGGGCGUAAAGGGCGUGUAGGCGGCUUGGCAAGCUUGGUGUGAAAGGUCACGGCUUAACCGUGAAUGUGCGCUGAGAACUGCCAGGCUGGAGUUUUGGGGGGGAAGCUGGAAUUCCUGGUGUAGGGGUGAAAUCUGUAGAUAUCAGGAAGAACACCGAUGGCGAAGGCAAGCUUCUAUCCAAAGACUGACGCUGAGGCGCGAAAGUGUGGGGAG
rnacentral:rRNA from 1 species